UCACCGUGGACUUGAGUAGCUGCAUUUUCCUUGCGCCUUCCUACAGAAGCCUCCCCUGCAUUCUUCUUCUUCUUUUUGUUGUUGCAUCGCAUGCUAGCUUAGAUUGCUCCACUCGAAUUUGCUAGUUCAUCUGAAUCGUCCUUGGUGGAACUCACAUCCAAGCGGAAGAACAAAGCAGAAACAAGAAGCGGGGGGAGACGGUGAAUCGAGAGCCUUCAAGGUAAUUUUUUCUUUUUCUUAUCCAUCUCCUUCUCCAGCUGCCUAGUUACUGGUCUAAUCCUCUUCUUAACUGAAUCGUGAAUCUGAUAUGCAAACCAUGGGUGGAAGAGGCAAGGCAGUAACAACAAGCAAGCAGGCCCGAGAAAGAGGGCUGGGGGGCAGUGACAGUCUGCCGCCAUGGAAUCGGCCACGGGGGCGUUGGCCACCCUCCUCCCAAAGCUGGGCAAGCUGCUACUCGAGGAGUACAACCUGAAGAAAACUGUCAAGAAGGGGAUAGGGGAUCUCAAAGCAGAGCUUGAGACCAUGCAGACUGCUCUUGAGAAGGUUUCCGAUGUGCCACUGGACCAGCUUGACUCACAGGUCAAACUGUGGGCUAACGAAGUCAGGGAUCUGUCUUAUGUCAUCGAAGAUAGCCUUGACUCCUUCAUCGGACGCGUCGAGGGGCUUGAGCUAGCGAAAAAGCCCAACCCUCUCAAGGACUUCGUCAAGAAGGCCUCUGACAAGAUCACCAGGUUCAAGGCUCGCAACAAAUUUGUCAAUGGCAUGGAAGACACCGAGACUCAAAUUAGGUAAUGAACGUUUUGCAAGGUACAAAAUCAGCGAUGUUGUUGCUAAUCCUGUGACAAGUACAGUCGAUCCUCGUCACUUUGCAAUGUAUAGCAAGGUAUCUGCCCUUGUUGGCAUUGACAAAGCAAUUGAGGAGCUGACGAAGAGAUUGUGCAAGGCCAAUGAUCUCCAUAAGAAAAAUCUCAAGACAGUCUCUGGCGUUGGGAUCGGAGGAUUGGGCAAGAGAACUGUAGCAAAAGCAUUGUAUGACAAGCUUAACAAGAAAUUUGAUUGUGGGUGUUUUGUUCCAGAUGGUCAGAAUCCUGACAUGAAGAAACUUCUCAAGGAUAUCCUCUAUGAUCUUGACAAGAAAAAGUACAUAAACAUCAUUGGCUCAAAAAUGGAUGAAAAGCAACUCACCGAUGAGAUGCUAGAAUUCCUCAAGGAAAAGAGCCUUCUUCCCAAAAUGAAAGUACCAGCAGUGCUGUUCCUCUGGACAUGUCAAAAGAAAAAACUGAAGAGAAGAAAAGACCCUCAAUUGGAGUAACGGGAGAGCUUGUUAAACCUGGUGUAAGUUGCAGGUCUGAACCGCUAGGUCUUGGUCUUGGUGGAGGCCUGCCGCAGCCUAAGAGAAGGAGCAGAACAGGAAAGCCAUCUGGGAUUAGUGGUGAUCCUACCAGCAAAAGCCAAGAAGUUGUUGGGGCAAGCAGCAGCAGGACUACGGAUUCUCACUCUCUAUCCUAAACGGAUCAUGAGUUGCUCGCUGUGUAUGGAAGAACAAUGCGUAAUAUUUUGUCAAAUUUGACAGCUACAAUCGGAUGCUCAAGUUCGCCACCUUAUUUGGAGAGCAAGAUGCAAGAUUGUGCCCAGAACCCUGCCACUACUUGGAAAAGGCAUGCUAGUGGCGCACCAGUUUUGCCUACUAAUGGCGCACUACUGGUGCGCCACUAGCAUCACACCAUUAGAAUUAAAUUUUAAUGGUGCACCACUGGUACGUCAUUAGUAUCUGGUGUUCUAAUGGCGCAUCACAUGUGCGUCAUUAGUAUAGCCCACAAUGUGCCAUUAGAAUGCCUUCCAGGGGGCCAUAUGUACCCAAGUGCUUUGGCUUACUAAUGGCGCAUCAGUGGGUGAUGCGCCAUUAGUGUGAUUAUUACAGUGCAUCAUUAGUGUCU